UGAACGCUAGCGACAGGCCUAACACAUGCAAGUCGAGGGCAGCACAAGGAGCAAUCUGAGGUGGCGACCGGCGCACGGGUGAGUAACACGUAUGCAACCUGCCUGUAAGCGGGGAAUAACCCGUUGAAAGACGGACUAAUACCGCAUAAUACUAAAUUACUGCAUGGUAAUUUAUUUUAAACAUUUAUGGCUUACAGAUGGGCAUGCGCAUGAUUAGCUAGUUGGAGAGGUAACGGCUCCCCAAGGCAACGAUCAUUAGGGGUUCUGAGAGGAAGGUCCCUCACACUGGUACUGAGACACGGACCAGACUCCUACGGGAGGCAGCAGUGAGGAAUAUUGGUCAAUGGACGAGAGUCUGAACCAGCCAAGUCGCGUGCAGGAAGAAUUGUCCUAUGGAUUGUAAACUGCUUUUGCAGGGGAAUAAAGUGAGCCACGUGUGGUUUUUUGUAUGUACUCUGCGAAUAAGGAUCGGCUAACUCCGUGCCAGCAGCUGC
rnacentral:rRNA from 1 species